rnacentral:rRNA from 1 species
UCCCCUAGUAACUGCGAGUGAAGCGGGAAAAGCUCAAAUUUAAAAUCUGGCAGUCUUUGGCUGUCCGAGUUGUAAUCUAGAGAAGUAUUAUCCGCGCUGGACCGUGUACAAGUCUCCUGGAAUGGAGCGUCAUAGAGGGUGAGAAUCCCGUCUUUGACACGGACUGCCAGGGCUUUGUGAUAUGCUCUCAAAGAGUCGAGUUGUUUGGGAAUGCAGCUCAAAAUGGGUGGUAAAUUCCAUCUAAAGCUAAAUAUUGGCGAGAGACCGAUAGCGAACAAGUACCGUGAGGGAAAGAUGAAAAGAACUUUGGAAAGAGAGUUAAACAGUACGUGAAAUUGCUGAAAGGGAAACGCUUGAAGUCAGUCGCGUUGGCCAGGGAUCAACCUUGCUUUUUUGCUUGGCUUACUUUCUGGUCGAUGGGUCAGCAUCAAUUUUGACCGGUGGAAAAAGUUCAAAGGAAUGUGGCAUCUUCGGAUGUGUUAUAGCCUUUGUUCACAUACAUUGGUUGGGAUUGAGGAACUCAGCACGCCGCAAGGCCGGGUUUUUAACCACGUACGUGCUUAGGAUGCUGGCAUAAUGGCUUUAAUCGACCCGUCUUGAAACACGGACCAAGGAGUCUAACAUGCCUGCGAGUAUUUGGGUGAAAAACCCGAGUGCGUAAUGAAAGUGAAAGUUGAGAUCCCUGUCGUGGGGAGCAUUGACGCCCGGAUCUGACCUUUUGUGACGAUUCUGCGGUAGAGCAUGUAUGUUGGGACCCGAAAGAUGGUGAACUAUGCCUGAAUAGGGUGAAGCCAGAGGAAACUCUGGUGGAGGCUCGUAGCGAUUCUGACGUGCAAAUCGAUCGUCAAAUUUGGGUAUAGGGGCGAAAGACUAAUCGAAC